rnacentral:tRNA from 1 species
GCCUUCGUGAUGAAAUAGGUAGACAUACAUGUCUUAGGAACAUGUGCUUUAUAAGUGUACCGGUUCGAGUCCGGUCGAAGGCA